UACGGGGGGAGCAAGCGUUGUUCGGAUUUACUGGGCGUAAAGGGCGCGUAGGCGGCCUUCUAAGUCGGACGUGAAAUCCCUCGGCUUAACCGAGGAACUGCGUCCGAGACUGAAAGGCUUGAAUCCGGGAGAGGGAUGUGGAAUUCCAGGUGUAGCGGUGAAAUGCGUAGAUAUCUGGAGGAACACCGGUGGCGAAGGCGGCAUCCUGGACCGGCAUUGACGCUGAGGCGCGAAAGCGUGGGGAGCGAACAGG
rnacentral:rRNA from 1 species